ensembl:snRNA U6 U6 spliceosomal RNA
GUGCUCCGUUUGGCAGCACAUAUACUAAAACUGGAACAAUACAGAGAUUAGCAUGGAUCCUGCGCAAAGAUGACAUGCAAAUUCGUGAAGAGUUCCAUGUUUUU